ensembl:snRNA U6 U6 spliceosomal RNA
GGGCUCACUUCAGCAGCACAUAUACUAAAAUUGGAAUGAUACAGAGAACACUAGCAUGAGCCCUGUGCAAGGAUGAUGUGCAAAUUUGUGAAAUGUUUCAUGUAUUU